rnacentral:rRNA from 1 species
GACGAACGCUGGCGGCGUGCCUAAUACAUGCAAGUAGAACGCUGAAGGAGGAGCUUGCUUCUCUGGAUGAGUUGCGAACGGGUGAGUAACGCGUAGGUAACCUGCCUGGUAGCGGGGGAUAACUAUUGGAAACGAUAGCUAAUACCGCAUAACAGCAGAUAUCGCAUGAUAUCUACUUGAAAGGUGCAAUUGCAUCACUACCAGAUGGACCUGCGUUGUAUUAGCUAGUUGGUGAGGUAACGGCUCACCAAGGCGACGAUACAUAGCCGACCUGAGAGGGUGAUCGGCCACACUGGGACUGAGACACGGCCCAGACUCCUACGGGAGGCAGCAGUAGGGAAUCUUCGGCAAUGGACGGAAGUCUGACCGAGCAACGCCGCGGGAGUGAAGAAGGGUUUCGGAUCGUAAAGCUCGGUUGUAAGAGAAGAACGAGUGUGAGAGUGGAAAGUUCACACUGUGACGGUAUCUUACCAGAAAGGGACGGCUAACUACGUG